UCAUGUUGGCAGCUAUGAGGGAAGUGACAGAAGUACAAAUCCAGCUGUGACUCAGAGAGGGGAUCAUAUCAACAUCAGUGUGUCUACAGAAAACUCCAGAGUGAGGGUAGAAGUCUUUUCUUUCUCUUAUUAGAGGACACAUUUGUGCAAAGAGUCUAAAGUAAAGAUGCUGUGGAGUCUGUUGUUCAUCACUUUGAUUGGAAGAUCAACUCAACAGGAUCAAGGAUGUAGUCCAGGCUGGGAAACUAUCAAACUGGAUGACAAAGUGGCAUUUCAGUCUUCAUUCUACACAGAUAAGAAUGGUGUCAAAUACACUGCUG